UUGCAAUCCUUAUCAAGUACAAGUAGUAUAUAUAUAUAUGUUGGGUUUAGUAACUGUAGAUUCUAAUCGAGAGACAUGAGAUCUCCCAAACAUAUGAGAACAAGCCCUAACAUCUUCUCUUCCGCCGAUCUUCCACUUCCCACUCUUCCUUUUGAUGUGAUUUCAGAAAUACUAGCUAGGUUACCGGUGAAGUCCCUUCUCCAAUUCCGGUGCGUCUCCAAAUCAUGGAAAUCACUCAUCUCCGAUCCAGUAUUUGCUAAAAAGCACCUUAAUCUGUCAACCACGCGCCGCCUCCUCUGUGUAAGCUACGACAAUCCCUCCUACAGUUUUAUUUUAAAUUCUUACUCCCUCCAAUCCGUUUUCACAGAUACAAACUAUAACCUCACUCGGUUCCAGUUUCCCCUCAAUGUUAUUUCUGAACGCUACUCCCAUCACCUUGUUGGCUCUUGUGACGGAAUUCUUUGUGUUGCCAAUUAUCGUAUUUCCCCGGAUUUUAAACCUUUAGUUAUACUGUGGAAUCCUUCUAUUAGAAAAUAUAAGGAAUUGCCCCAAUUUGAAAACCCAGCCGAGCUUUAUCGGCUUCGGCUUCGUAUGACAUAUGGCUUCGGCUAUGAUCAUGUUUCUCAUGAUUACAAACUGCUUGUUCUUUACAACUCCGACAUUGAACAUGCAACUAGAGCAAAGCUUUAUACUUUGAAGGCUGAUUCUUGGAGAACCAUCCAACCGUUCCCUUCUGAUUUUGGUACUCUCCUUACUUAUCCACGUGGAAGAUAUGUAAGCGGUACAGUUAAUUGGAUGACCUGUCAACGCUCGAUUGUUUCUUUUGAUUUAGUCAACGAGUCUUAUCGAAAGAUUUUGCCUCCUCGACAACAAAGAAAACCUAGAUAUUUGAGUUUGAGUGUGUUGAGGGAUUGGUUGUGCAUAACUUAUGAUCACGAUGUUUGGGUCAUGAAGGAAUAUGGAAUUCUAGAUUCUUGGACUAAAUUGUUCAAUGUUACUCACUUGCUAAUUCCUCUAUCUAAUUCUUUUCGCUUGACAAAUCUAUAUAUCUUUCAAGACGAUCAAGUGCUGCUCGUGUUUAAACAUUUUUUGGGUAGGGUGUCGUUGAUUGUUUACAAUUUCAAGAAUGAUACUUCUAAAGUUAGUUCAAUGUUGAAAGACAUCUCAGAAGUGUAUGUUGAGAGUUUGAUAUCACCUUGGUCUUAAUAUUAGAAUUAUUUUUGAAGACGAUCAAGAUCAAAUGCUGCUGUUGCUGUUUCAGGAGACUUCAAGAAAGAAGUUUGGUUGAAGUUGUUCAUGCUGGCGCGGCUUUGCAUUGCUAGCCAUCUCCCUCCAAUACUGUAAGUACCUUAUCUUUAUUUGAUGAAAAUUGGGGGCUAACUUUAUAAAUUGACUGAUAUUAUGGUUUGUUGCCAAUAUUAUGUCUUUUAAAAUCUUGAAAAAAAAUUCACUCUAAAAUUUAAAAAAAAAAAAAAAACUUGAGAUAUGGUUUAUCAUUAUUGGUAAUUCUGGUCAUAUCUCAUUGGGCUGCAUUUCUAUGUCUCAAUGUGUUAAAUUUUUAGAAAUAUAUGAAAUCAACUUAUAGAUGUUUUAUAUUUUAUCAUAUUGUCCUGAAUAUAAGUGUGUGAAGGAGUGCUAACAACUUAUUGUUUGGCACAUUUUCUAAAGUCAGAAUAUAGGAGUCAUCAAAUUAAAAUAAGAUGGUUCAGAUGAUGUGGUUAAUUGGAAUCAUUCUUCCUAGAAAACCAUUGCAUGGUUAUUUGGACAGUAUUAUUUUAUAUAAAGGAUUAACUGUACCGAUAAAUAUUGAAUCAAAGAAGAAUUAGAUAUUAGAUAACUGUUAUCAUUGAAAUAUUUGUUCAUAUUUAGUUAUGAUUAAUUGAGAAGGAAUAAAUAGUAAAAUUGUGCGUAAAAAUCUCAUGAGCUUACGCUGACUUUUUCACCUCAUGAUGUUGAUACUAGUCUUGUGUUGAGUUACCAGUUGGUUGGAAAUUUAGUUGCAUUAUUUGUCUAUUUUUAAACCCUUUUUUCAAACUGCAUGUUUAAUCACUUGAUGUACCGGUUUGCAAAAUUGACACUAUAUGUACUUUGAGUGUGAGAGAAUCUGUGUUUCCUUUACUGCUUCUAAGUACUUAAUUUUGAAAAAACAUAACAAGUUCCAAUUCCCUGUUAUUAGCCAUACAACAUUAAUGACUAUUGAUCUAGCUAUUCAUGAAAGACACUAUCUAAAAAUGAGCAACCUAGUGGUAUAAAGCGUCUGUCAUACCAACAAUGGUCUCUUGGAGGGAUAAGGGAAUAAAUGGAAUGAGCAAAAAUAUGGUUAAUUGAAUCAUAUUUCUAAACUGAAUAGUAUUGAAUAACAAAAAAAACUUAAACCAUUUAAAUGGUUAAUAAAAUGAACCACUUAUUAUAA